UUUUAGGGUCCUGUUGGUUUCUUAAAUCUCUCACAAAUGAAUAAAACGUGCUGCUGCUUCAACCUAUGGGUUACAUUUGUAGGAGAAUAUUUAGACGGUAAGGAUGAGUAUUAGCUUUCUGGAUUCUUGUCUGAAUUUCUGGUAGUCUUAAGUGUGGUGUGGGUGGCUGAAUCAGUAGGUGCAGCAGUUCGUAAAAGGAGUGAAAGAACUUUUUGAAAGUCUUAAAUUCAACUCUUGAUGAGGAUGACAUACUCCCAGAAGCUGAUUAAAUUGUCAGUGAUUCAUGUGAUGACUUAAAGCUCUUUGUGUUUUACAGUAACUUUGCUAAGGAAAUUCAGUGUCAUAAAAUUUCCUUUUUCUUUCUUCUUCUUUUUUUUUUUGGGGGGGGGGGGGGUGUAGAAUUUUUAGUUUAGAAAAGAUUAAAAACUUUCAACAAGCUUUCCCCAUUGGAGAAUGACACAAAGGCAAUUUUUUGAGAAGCCUGAUGUUAUCACACUGUUUAUAGAUGUCUUUCUGUCUCUCCCCUUAUCCUCAAGUAGCUUCUCUAUUUGUUUUUCCAAAUACAUUUUUGGAGGGCUAAAAGAUACAGAAAAAAAAUCAUGAAAAAGGAGAAAAAAAAAGAUAGCUUUGUAUAAAAGGGAGUGUCAAAAGCACAAUUCCAUCUCAAAGGCAGUUAAAAUUUUGCCUUUUCUGUCUUCUCAGCGGUAGUGGUCCUCUUGUGAGCAGCGUAUAGAUGGUUCCAGAUGACCUGUCAAGGUUUAUGCUGUCACUUGGCGAGCCUUACGUCGGUGGAUGGGGGGAAGAGGUAGAGAAGGAAAAUGACUUGGCAUAUGAGAGAUGUGACUGAGAAGGGAAGAACGAGGAACCGUAGAACAGAAAUCUGUAGCAAACCAUGCUGCGUUAGUUCUUCUAUUUGUAAAAAUGCUUUUUGGGGGUUAUAUGAAGAUUGGGCAGGAGCUGCUAGAGGCCAUGCAGUCCAUUUCUCGAAAUGCUGGGGAUCAUUGAGUACAAUGAUUUGUGAUGGAGGUUUGUCUUCAGUGCCUUCUGUGACAAACAGCCCAUUAACUCUGCAGGCAAUCUACUCUCAUGUUUCUAUAGCAUCAGCUUUGGAGCUUUUCCUAAUAUUGAAACAAAAUCUUUCCUACUGGAAUUCGAGCUUCUUACUGCUUAGCCCGUCCAUUUGUAAUAUGGAGAGCUCUUUUUAGGCAUGUAGAAAGCUGAUUCAAACUCUUGUUGUGUCCCCUCUGUCUUGUCUUCAGAAAUAAUCUUUGCGUUUACCUCGGUAGGAGCUUUACUGACUUUUCUUCUGAGGAGGUUCUUAUCAAACCUUUUGUUUGAAUGAAAAGUAUUUUUUUCUGACUCGCUUGCAGGAAGAUGAUUUUUUCUUUUGUAAUGGUUGAGAAAAAUAUUAUAAUUACUUAUGAUUUGUUGAGAUUGAACAUUUUAGUAUUUCUGUGCAACUGAAUCUUACUGACUGGUACUAGAUGUAUGAGUUAAAGAGCACAAUAAAGUCUUUAAACACUACUAAUAUACGAGGGCUGCUCCGAAACGAAUGCCUCCUACAUUAUGUUAGCCCAUGAUGUCAGAGGUGGAUCUUGGUGAAUACAGCAGCAGAGGUUGAACAUUCCCACCAUUAUCCCGCUACAUGUUAUUACUGUGUGACAGAUGGCAGCGGAGGGGCAGUCUGACAGAAUGGUGUCAGACACGUAAGUGUGGAUGAAGAAAAUGGGAGGAAUUGAAUUCCUCCAUACGGAAAAAGUGGCACCCAUUGACAUUCAUCGACACUUGCUGAAUGUUUAUGGAGAUGAAACACUGGAUGUGAGCACAGUAAGGUGGUGGGUGGUGCAUCUCAGCAGUGGUGACAGUGGCAGUGGGUCACCUGUACUUGAGUACUUAAAUGUACAGGACAUGAUACAUGGCCAAUUUAUAGUUCCGAGUUCACCUGAAAAAUGCAGUUGCCAGAUGAGAUACUGGAUGUUUCAUGCUGCUUUAGCAUUUUUUAUAUGUAAUAAUAGUAACUCAGUCUAUGACCUAGUAACUUUGUUUCUGAUGUGUCAUGGACAGAAUGUGAAGUUCUGUCCAGAAAGCUCUCCUUUAUCCACUCUUCAAAGCUUGCCUUUUUUUAAUGCAAAGCACAGGCUGAAAAUCUGGGGGAAUAAUAAUAAUAAUAAUAAAAGGCUAUAACAGCUGCAUACUUACCACAGGGCCUUUCAAACACUGGUGGCUUCAAGGGCAAGGUCUCAGCUAAUUCAGUGCUGCAGUUUUCAGUUGACUUCUGUGUUUCUGACAUCAGCAUUGUGAACUGCCAGAGUGACUCGUGACAUGAUCUUUGUUACACCUCUAUGAUACCAUGUUUGAGAUGGAGUGUCAUAGAAGAUUGUGGUUAAUGGAUAAGGGACUCAGAGGUCUGGUAAAAAAAUGUCUAUAAUCAGCACUCUCUGUUAUUUGUUUUUGUGUUGUUGAUGUUCAUACAGUGCCAAAGUGCUUAUUAAAAAGAGUACAAAAUAAGUAAAGGCAGAAUCUUGGCUGUGAAGGGCCUUAAAGUAAGAUGCAAACAGUUGGAAGAGGCAAGGAGGUUUAAUAAGGGAGAAUGAAACAUGAAGCAUGCUGUGGUUUUGGAGGAUACGUAUAUUCCUUUAUGGUUUUAGUGUAGCCAGCCCUAGCUGACAUGCACGGCUAUACAGUCUGGAAUGUGUUAAACAUCUCUAAAGGGAUUUAGAGGGCAAGUUAGGUUUAGUUGUUGGUGCAGUGUUACCUGUACUGGUGAGUUAAUAGCACAAUCGUGUAAACAUUCAGCACAUUACAGCGAGGGAUUAGUUAUUUUAAAUACAAUAUGAGAGUGAAUUCAUGCCCAUGCUGAGCUGCUUUAAAUAUUUACUCUGUUUAUCAAAUUUCCAAGCAUAAUCAAAGUAUUAAGAGAUACUCAAAUGGAGGUUCCUGGCAUGCACAGAUAUUAGAGUGUUUUCUUGAGUCUUCUAGUAUUUCCUAUAUUCCAAACCAUCUGUCCUUUUAUGAAAAAACUCUAAGUCUUAAAAUUGCUAAUUAUUGUAACUAAUGCUUAAUUGCUGAUGUUUUGGGGGUUUUUUUGUUUGGUUUUUUUUUUGACCUUUGCUUUUCAUAACAAGCGUUCUCUGUAGUCUCCAUUUGUUUCAGGGUAAUGAGAUUCAGAAAGGGCUAAAUGCAGGUGCAGUUCUUAUUUUCUCCAAUGGAAAUGUCAUCCUCCUAACACUGAAUUUGAUUUUGUCUGAUGAUGACUGCAUUCUGGCAGCACCAUGCAGGUGUGUCAGGCACUUCUGUGUUAUGUUCUCUGAAUGCGUGUAAUAAAAAGAUGCUCCUUGUUCAUUAUUGCUUAGGAUUUAAGUUUUAAAGAACUUGAAAAACGAGAUUCUCUUGACUAGCUACAAGAGUGGUGUUUUCUUACCUCCCCUCUCCCCCCAGAAUUCCCAGAAAGCAUGUCAACAGUGUAAUCUUUGAAUUAAUAGGAGGGGAAGAUAAUAGAGAAAUUAUUGUGAAGGCUGGUAAUUGAUUUGAGAUGGCAUUCAUAUCUGGGAAGCCUUUUGUUUGGAUGUUGUUUUGGAAUGGUGAGAUUUUGAACUUAUAAUGGAAAUAAGAUGGAUAAAGUAUGAGCUAUGAUGGACAUUGAAUGAAGGGCAUCAUUAUGAAAAGAACAGGAAGAAAGGAGACUUCUGAAGCUUUUGUUUGUUGUGGGAACCUUAAUGAGAGAACAUGGCUAACAGAAGCAAGGCCUCAAAAUCUUCAGUCACAGGCACGAGUAUAAAACCCUGCAAUAAACAGUUCUUGCUGAACAGAGCAGAGAAGUAGGAGCUUGGAAAGCUUAGAAGCUGGGCAAUGCCAGUUGACAGCAGGCAUUAGUCAUGUAUAUCAGCAGCAAUAAGGGAGAUGGAUAAGAAGCUGCUCCAUAAAGGGAGCAGGUUCAUUGCUGAAGGAACUGUGAUACUUUUUUUCUCUAUUUCUUUAGCUUUGGGGUGUGGGAAUUUUCCAACACAGAGUUUGCAGGAACUAAGAGCAACUGCUUUCAGUCCGCACCCAGAGUAAAUGAAGAAUAGCAAUGAAAUGGAUGACUCAGAGACAUGACUGACUCUAAAUCCAGCAGCUGAUUGGAUGGAAUGUGUUCUUGAGUCCUAGACAUCUGUAUCAGACUUCUGAGCCUGUUUUGGUGCUUGCUCUUCCAAGUAUCUGGUCGCUGAAUAUUUUCCAAUCCAUAUUUGGAAAUAAUUGAUUCAUUCAUAAGGAUAAUAUUUGUGCUGUUCAGGAAAUGCAGUAGUUCGCUCACACAGACCUAAUUCAAGGGAUGCUGUACAACUAGCCAUUAUUUUAAUUUCUAAAAUAGUAUCAAAUCAUUUUCUGAGAACUCUGUAUGAAAGCACAGAUGAUACGAGCUGACUAUGAGUAACUCACGUAAAGCAGAGAAAAUGCUGGGUUUUAUUUUAAAAUAUUGAUGUUUCAUCAGUAACUCCUGUCUUGAACUUUAAAACAUUGCUAAGAGAUAUUUCCUUUUAAUGAUAAGAUGGGAUCUCACACAUUAUGUGAGUUGGAAUUCUUCCUAGACAAACUUCUGAAUGAGCAGCUGGCCACCAUAUAGUCUGCUCUUUGCUUACUUUACAAAAAUAUUCAUUUUGCAGCUGUCUUUCUUGUGGGACUCAAAAAUACUGCGUGUGCAAGUGGAAUCGCACUACUUCAGUGGUGCCAUCAGAGGAAUUACAGCUUUGAGUGUUGGUAAUUGGAAUAUUAUGUGUAGUCUUAUAGAUCCCUGAUGUAGUUUGUGUUGGACUUGUCAGAGCUAAGGAAUAGGCUACAGGGAAGCCAGAUGGCUGCAUUUUUGGGUACCACAGACUGGGCAUGUGCUUUUAACUUAGGUAGCUACACAGCUGUAGUAGAGUGGUUCUCUCCCAGGUGAUGGUGAAUCAUAGAAUGUCAAGGUUGGAAAGGACCUAUAAGAUCAUCUAGUCCAACUGUCCUCCCAUUACUGUUCCUACCACAAGCCACUAAACUGUAUCUUGUAGCUUCUCAUCCAGACACCUCUUGAACACUGCCAGGGAUGGCGACGCCACCACCUCCCUGGGCAGGCCAUUCCAGCCUGACCACUCUCUGGGAGAAAAAGUUUUUCCUUAUGUCUAAUCUAAAUCUCCUCUGGCACAACUUGAGGCCAUUUCCUUGGGUUCUGUUCGUUGCCUGGGAGAAGAGGCCAAACCCCUCCUCACCACAACCUCCCUUCAGGAAGUUGUAGAGUGCAGUGAGGUCUCCCCUGAGUCUCCUCAAGACUAAACAAUCCCAGCUCCCUCAGCCGCUCCUCAUAAGACUUGUGUUCCAGACCCCUCACCAGUUUUGUUGCCCUUCUCUGUAUAUGUUCCAGGGCCUCAAUGUCUUUCUUGCAGUGAGGGGCCCAAGAUGAAAUGCUGCAACUACCUGCCUGAAAUUCCACAUUUUUAAAAACCAUUAAGUUCACUUUUGUUUCUUAACAAUUUUUUAAGAGUUUAUCCAGGACCUUUUUUUGAAACUGGGAAAGUUUGCAGCUCUGAACAGGGAGAGACUUCCUAAGUGUUAAGUGAUGGUGAGACCCAGUCCCCUUCCAAGGUUACUGAGGAACCCUACAGCAUAGCUGAGAAGAGAAUACAGGUGUCCCUGGAACAGCCUUGGGCAUUCCUUUCCUUAGUUUGGGAUUCUUGUUUUUUUUUGUUUUCCUUUCCUGCAACAUUUUUUUUCUCCUGAUAGCUUCAUGGGUUCUGUGUGCCAAAAAAAUAGAAAAGAAAAACUGCUUUUCUUUCUGGUUUCUUGAUGACCUUUUAAAAAGUGUAUAAAUGGUGAGAAUUGAGCUUGUUGCUACAAUAAUCAACUAUCAAAUCAAUACAGUUAAGCUGGUUGCUAAGGGAAGGCCAUGUAUGGUCAUGAUGUAACUCUGAUUGCAGCAGCCCAUCUCAUAACUGGAGAGAGGUCGUGGAGGGGAGGAUUCUUCUACAGGGAGGGCUGCUUAAAUCUGAAUGCAGCAUAGCAGUGUUGAUUUAAAGUAUCUUCCUUUGUUAUGGCAACAGAAGGGAACUAUUGCAUGUCUUUUGAAAUAUCUAAUCUUACUUCCUUCAUUGACCUUGUUCUUGAUGAGCAGGAUUAAAUACUUUUGUAGGAAAUUUGCUUCAGCAAGUGUGCUUAGAAGUAUGUGGAGAUACAUAUCACUGUAGAAACGAAGUGUAGCAAACUACUUAUAAGACAAACUGAAUUAGCCUUUCCCCUUUUUUUUCCAAGUUCACAGUUUCAAAAUACACUCCUCAAAUACAACAGCUUUGUUUGAGCUUUGAGGCGAGUCCUCAUCCUUGGCUGCUGUGAAGACUUACCUCAAUAUGUAAAAACUGCCAUGGUUCUAAAGCUUUAAGUCCAUAGCUGCACUAUACUGCUCCUCCUUAUGACAGCCAAUAUCACAAUAUCUUCUUCCAGGCUCAGCUAUCACCAGCAAAUAUUCUGGCCUUCUGUAGCUGCUGGCAGCUGGUCUGACCAAGGGGGACUAGAUAACUGGCCUUGCUGGAUGAGUGGUGGCACGAUGUUGGCCAGAGAAUUAGUUUCUGAUGCCUGCAUUUUUCCUAGGCUUUGUGGCAUGCUUCUUGGCUGCAGCUGGGCCAUCAGACCAUUGUGAGUGGAACAAUCGCUGAACAAAAUGAGAUUCUAAAAGCACAAUAUGGAUUGUCUGUCCAAGGUUACUGCACAAUCAGAGUGAAUAGCAAAUUCAUAAUGUAAAUAUUUUUACCUCAGGUGUUUAUAAAAGCAAUAUAGAGAACAGGAUAUGUCAGAGGUGUUUAAUAAGAGAAGCAGGAACAGAUCACUUGAAGGCCUCCAGAUCAGAUAUCUCUUGAGGUAGCAGCUCCUAUGAGGCUAUGAAUAUUGAAGCAGAGGAAAGAAAUUUAGUUCAUUUUUUGCACUCAUUGCUAAAUACUAAUCUAAGUACCAGCUACUGUUCUUCUAAAAAGAGUGAUCCUUCUCCUCUACUCUGCCCUGGUGAGGCCACAUUUAGACUACUGUGUUCAGUUCUGGGCUCCCCAGUUCAAAAAAGACAGGGAACUCCUAGAAGGAGUCCUGCGGAAGGCCACAAAGAUGAUUAAGGGCCUGCAACACCCCCUGUAUGAGGAGAGGCUGAGUAACCUGGGUCUGUUCAGCCUGGAAAAGACUGAGGGGGGAUCUGAUUAAUGUUUAUAAACAUCUAAAGGGAGGUGGAAGGCAACUGGAUGAGGCCAGGCCCUUCUCGGUGUGUAGCGAUAGGGCAAGGAGUAAUGGCCUAAAACUUGAACAUAGCAAGUUCCAAACAGACGUGCAAAAGAACUUCUGUACUUUAGAACUUUAGAGUGGCACUGGCAAAGGUUGUGCAGAGAGGUUGUGAAAUCUCCUAUGGAUACAUUCAAGGCCUAUCUGGAUAUCUACCUGUGCAACCUAUUGUAAAGAACCUGCAUUAGCGGGGGGGGUGGCCUUUAUGAUCUCUUGAGGUCCCUUCCAACCUCUGAGAUUCUGUAAUCCUUAGAGACAAUAACAAUUAAAUUGUCAUAGAAAUGUUACCUCUUGAGUUGCUGUUAUCCUGAGUCAGGGUUAAAACUCUUUGGCUGAAUUACCUGGGCUGCCGCUGCUUGUAUCUGCCUUCCCUUUUUAGAGAGCUGUAGGCUCUGGAAAGGUUGAUCUGCAAAUCUGAAGAUCAAACAAAACCUGGAGAACAAACGUCACUUGCACUUUGUUCCAUUAAUGGUAAUAGAUGGGAUUUUUUGCUACAGUGUUCACCAUUCUUUGUCUGAACCUGAGAAACAUAAUUCUAGGCAAGGAAAAGUGCAGAUUAUCCCCUGGACAGAUGACCCACAGAAAAGAGAUUCAUUUAAUACAGGGUUAUGAAAUUGCUUACAUAAGCAAGGCUUGAUUAGUAUGGGUUUUUGUUGUUGUGUUUUUUUUUUUUUUUUUUUUUUAAUUUUUCAUUAGGCUGUUGUGAGUCACUGCUGGUGAGUUUGCAGUAAGGGGUGUGUUUUGAAGAAGGGAAUGUAAAGAGUGAGGGAGAAACUGCCUGCUUUCCAAAAUAUACUCUUCAAACCUGGAAGGUUCUGGCUCUAGAAAUGGCAAGCUGUAAAUACAGUUGUAGUAUUUUGAUAUUACAAACCAAUGGAGCUUUGCUGCCUUGAUUGUUAUGUCAAUCAGUAGUUCUCAAGGAAGUUACUUUUAAAGGCUUUAUGCAGAAGUAAUUGUGCUUGUUUUACUGAGGUUUUCCAUUGCUGGGUUUUGAGUGGCUUAUUAUUAUUAUUAUUAUUGAUGGUGGUGGUGAUUGUUUGUUUUGUUUGUGUUCAGAUUUUUCUUCAGAGUACUCUGGUAGUAUAUUGUCCACAAAAAAAAAAAAAAAAUCUUGCUAUAGGGUGGGUGACAGUGUGGGGCAGAGCUGGAGGAGCCAUGCUUUGAAGGCUCUAUGAUCGGCUAAAUGUAGACUGCAGGUAGAAAGCCGAGAACUUCCUGCCUUCCUCACAGGUGCUGAGCUGGCUGACCUGAUGCAUGCUGUGAAGGAGGAGGCUGCUUCUUCCCUUCUCCCUGUUCCUCCUUGUUUAGGAUUUCAGGGCAGGGGCUGUGGCUACUCAGUGCAUGUGCUACACCCAUGACCUGGCAUCUGAGUAGCUCCACUUCAUCCCUGCAUGUGUAUGUAGGGCUCAUUUCUCCUGCCUGCUUUCUGCCCUAUUCAUGAUAACAAUCUAGCCUUUAGACUGUUUUCCACUUGGCAAAAUCGCCCACAACCAACCAUUGUUUGGUUUAAUGCUGACCUUGUAGCUUGUGAUGAACCCAAGACCUACGCAAACAGAAAGUGAAUAGCGACAGCUGAAAAGUAUCUUAUCAGAUAUUAGAAAGAAUAAUAAACAAGAGGAAGUGGCUGUAAGAAUGCCUUUCAGUGAGACUAUAUUAAAUAGAGCUUCAUAGUCUGAAUUCUGUGAUGAUAGAUAGGUUCAGGCAGAGAUUACACUGAAGCAAUGCUGCUUCUGUACUCAGAGAUAGUCACAGUACUGUACUCUAUUGCCCGACCUCUGCUCAUAAAUGGUGAAAUUACCAGUAGCUCCAGAUAAACUUACUAACAGGCUUGAGGUUUUCAAGAUGAUUAAGGUGAUAUACUAUUUAUUCUGGAGCUUCCCUGGCAGCCAGGGAGAACCAUUCAGAAGUGUGUUUGAGAACCAAGAGGUUAUCAUGCAUUUGGCUCUGAAUCCAUCAUAGCAUGUGCUGCCUCUUGUCUGGCCAUCAGACCAGAGACAGGCUAGAGGCAUGAAAGAUGUGUUUGGGAGGAUGUGUAGGGAUGGGAAUGGACACAGGGUGCCAACAUGUGAGGUCACAGUGAGACAAAGAGCUGGAAAUACUGUGGAUGCUGCUUGUAGGAGUAUAGAGGAGCAUUGCAGCAGUGAGGCUUGCUGAGGUAAGAGGUAGUAGGAGUGUAGUCUUCGCAUUCUCAUAUAUAAUAUUUUUGCUGAUCACAUAGUGACUUGUGGUUUUGGUGAGGUUUAUUUCUGUUUGCUAUUAGGAAAUAGCUAUGUUCCUUGUAGACAGGCAAACACCAUAUACAAAUCAAAGCUCUUCCUUCCUGUUCUACCUUUUUGUCAAGGAAUAUGAGGUGACUAGUAAGUCUGUGUAUGCUAUGGAUGGUGCAGCUGAAGGUUGAGACAAAGUGAGAUGGAUAAGGGAAGAACCUUGGGGCAAAACAGUCUUCCUGCCAACUAGUCCUUUCUCUUUUUUUUUUUUGAGUCCUGGACUCCUCUUUACAGAGGACCUGCAAGGAUGAGUAGUCUGACAGAUUCUCUGUGUGAUACUGUGUAAACCCACUGGCAGUGAGCUAGUUGUCUGAAAGAUUGCAGUAGUUGUCCCAAGGACUGUAAGCAACAAGCAAGAAUAAAUGCCAGUGACAGCUCAGUGCAGCUGAAGGAAAGUGAGGAGGACAACAAAACCUGCUCUUCAAAACAGAUAUGUGUUCAAAGCCUCCACUGCUAAAUCUCAAGGAAUAAAUGUUCUCUUUAUAUAGAGUGAGUUAGGAGUUGAACAUUGUGUAAUAAUAUGGCCCGACCUGAUCGAUGAAGUAUGUUGAUGCUAAUGGGACUGCCAAAAUUGAACACCCAUUUCGCAGGAUUGAGAUUCACAUGUCAGAUACAUUAUGGCAUCUUUUCCCCAAAUACUAGAGAGCCUAUCACUGGGGGCAGCAGUUUACUUGUUUGUUUGUUUUUUGACAUCUCGUGGGUUUCCUCGGGGGAAGAUGACUGGUUUCUGGAAGCUCUAGUACUAGUUUUCUAGUACUCUAGUUGGAGCAUCUCUAGCAGCAAGGGCUGUCCUGCCUUGAAGUCCUAUUAACACAUCUGUUUGCUGCCCCAGGGUAGAGAAGCCUUGGGAAUCUGCACAGAGCUGAUGCCUCUGAGAAUGUUUGGAGUUGUGCUCGGUCGCAGGGCACUGUAUUUUUUAUUUAUUUUUUAAAAUAAAUGUUCAGGAGUGUUUGCAGAAUGACUGUGGACUAAAUAUAUGAGGCAGGGUUUGGUUUGCCUGACGUGCUGCCUUGGGAGGAGGGUAUUUCAAGGCUGGUACAGUGGGGAGAGAAAGCUUCCAUUUCUGGAGGUGUACCUGGGGUGCUGUUAGCUGCACUCCUGGAGGAGGAGCAGAGUGGUGGCAGCUCUGUUGUCUCCCUAGCAUUUCCUCUCCUGCCUCCUCCAGGCUCUGUCUUGUUUGCAGUGGUUGAAACUGCAAAAGCAAUCCGAGGCCUAGCAUUGAUCUAAAUGGUUUAAACACAUCUAAAGCCUUAGGGCCAAAUCGAGCUGUAACUAUUCAUGUGAGUAGUUCUGUUGACGUCAGUGGGUUUUCUUGCUUAAGCAUACUAGAUUUGACAGCUAGGUUAGAGGUUAUCAAGAUUUUAAGCCAUUUGAAAAGGGGGAAAAAAACCCAACCAAACAGAAACUCUUAAUGUCCCUUAAACUGCAGCAGAACUUGAGAGAUUGGGGACAGCAAGAAAUGGCUGGAAACAGAAGCAGAGCAGUGUCUUUGUUCCCUAAAUGUUUGUUUAUUAAGGAGAUUAACUUAAAUGCAAGGUGUGGAAGCACAUACAUGCCCCGGAGCUGCACAGGCUGCUUUUUCUUGACUAGAGUUUUUAGGCUUUAAGAUACUCAGCUUGCUGUUUGCAACUUGGGAAAAAAUCCUACAUCUGAAAAAGCCUUCAUGUUCCCAAAUUCUUUUCAGUUGUCAACUGGUCUGGAAAAUAUUGCUUCGAUUCUAUAGUUCUUCCUCCAAACUCUACCAUGUUACACUGUUAGGUCAUGAAGCUAACAGUGCUGUUACUGCUUUAACCCACAGUCAUGUAUCUCUGGGACAUGCUUGUAUGGAAAAUUGCAGGAGCCAUGACUCUUGUCGCCCUGGCAGUACAGCUUGUGCCCAGGCAGUCCCGUGGUGACUGGGCACGAUGGAGAGAAAAGAGGCCAUGCAUCUGGCCUUGGCCUUCCCACAGCCUACAUGUGGGAGCUCCACUUGGCAGUACUCUAGAGGAAGGGGUAGCUUCUGCACUGACAAAACUUGUUGAGGUGUGGAGUUUCAGCAUCCUCUGCUCUAAAGGGAACAUUUUGAAGUCAAUCUCAUGACAGUUCUCCACUGUGGGAGGCUGACGUCUAUAAAGCCAGGACUGUGUUAUAAGGCACAGUAACUUUGGGCUUGUGCAGCACCUAAGUAAUCCCAGGAGCACUUUGCAAAGUGGCAAAGUACAUGUAAAUGCUGCGAGCGUGUAGGCAGGAGAUAAGGAGAAGCUUUGAGGAAAAGAAUGGUUUUGCUGGGAGGAGGUGGAACAAAGUGGGAGUGGGCCUUUCAGCCUGAGCGCCAACGUUGUGCAGCGCUCCCAGCCCCAGCCUGGUCACCGGGAGGCCACAGAGGUAGUGGCUGGUGGAAGCAGGGGCUGCGAGCAGGAUGGGCCAUUUGGCAGUGCCAGACUGGGCUUGUUCUGGGCUCUGGGUAUUUUAUUUCCCAUCAUGUCUGCUGUACCAGUUCGCAAGACAUGACAGGCAGCUUCGCCUUGUAAUUUAUUUGAUCAUGGUAAUUUUUUUGACAGGCUUCCUUGUGAUUUUUUAAUAUAUCAAAUAGAGUUUAAUAAUAGCUUGCUAUUAAGUCCUUUUAUUUCUCCCUUGGGAUUUACUUAUGACUGUUGCUUCUCUUACCAAUUUUAAGCUCUGAAUCUAUUUUCCAACUGCAAGGAACUUAGCAGCGUGAGUGCAUGUAUAAUAUGUAAAAACAUGAAACAGAAUUGUUGUUCUGCUUGGGAGUUAAUAAAUGUCAGCAUUGGAGGUAAUUGAAGGAUAAGCCAGGCUGCUUAAUUUCCAGGAGUAUUCCUAUCAAAUUCAAGGCUGUCAGGAGGUUGCUCUCCAGAAGGACUUUUUUCUUCUAAUUUUAUUUCCACUCCUCUUUUGCAGAUGAAUUUUAUCAUUGGCUUCAGGGUCAAGUGACCUCUGAGGAAAAGAACCUCAGUGAGAGCAAAAUCGAACAGAAUAAAGUCAGUUGCACGGUGUAGCUGAUAGCUUUGAAAUAUCAAAGAUAAUAAAAGAGGCUGUGUACAUUUAAUCACAGUAGGCUAAGCAUAAACUAAAUGUCAUCUAAUGAAAGACAAUUCCCUUCUGUAGUAGGAGGAACCAAAAUUUCCUCAUUUUCCUUAUUUAUCCUGAGAUCAUUGGUGCUGUAUCUUUUAUUACUUGUUUUCUAUCUCCACACAUGCUAGGUCCAUCUAUUUUUUUCUGGUCUUUGCUUUUAUUGGUGUUUUCCAAGAAACUCCAAUAAGAUACUUGUGAUACACUCAUUACUUUUAUAUGUGAUUUUUACGGAUAUGCGCAAGCCUGAUAGAGACAGACAACACAAAGCCUGAUCUGACAGGUCAGGAUUCAGGUGUGCCAGAUGUCCCUCAGACCCUGCCUUAUGCUUCCCAUUCACGUGCUACCACUUGGAUUGUUUAGCCUGUCUCGUCAUUCAGAUUUGUCCUUUCCAACUCAGGUUUUUCUGCCCAUCUCUGCCAGAAAGAAAAUCUACUAGAUAUGGGACAGGGAAAUUUUCACCUAGUUUAGAGUCAGUUGAAGUUCACAGGCAAAUACUACCUUGUGCUAAGCCCUAGUGAUGUUUGCAGCACUGUGAGAAUAAUGUAGCAUGUAGCAUUCUUUUAAACUGUAUGUGCCUGUGGCAGACCCCCAUUUGCAGUUGUGAUAUAAUUCUGGGAGAAGGGCAUUACUAAAAUAGUAUGAUGUCUAGCACUUUGCACUGUACCAGUUUUACCCUCUGUUAACAUGUUGGAUAGAUAAGUGAGGAAAUGCCUAAGUGCACCCACCCCCAUCAAGAAUAAAAGUCAUAAAGUGUUUAAAUUGCUUUGUGUAUGGCUAAAAAGGAGUUGACUGUCUCACAUAGCAGUUGCUCCUCCUUCAGCAGAAAGCUGAGACCUGCAAAAGUUCCCAAAUUCCAUUAACAGUCCUCAAAGGCAGUUGAUUCAGAAGCAGGUAAUGAUUUGUCCUUAGCACUUGAGCAUAUAUGGAUUGAACAGAUUUCCUGAGGUAAAAUUUUAUUUUCAUUAAAUGGAGUGUAUUUUCCAGGAUGUUAGGCAGUCAAGGAUUAUUUAUUUAUCUGCAAUGUGAAAUUCCUGUAGUGUUUUUAUAUUUUAUCCUUUGUCUCUCCUUUUCCUUCUCCUCUGUGGUGGUAUUUGCUGUGACUAUUGGGAGGAAAUGUUGUUCUGCUUACUAAUAUUUUAGUUCCUCUUACGUAGCUAGAGGACUUAUGAGGAAGACUGUGUUGAGGUCACACACUACAGCGGCAUGGUGGUGGAGGCUAGAUGAUCUUCCAUGAGCAGAAUGGCAUGGCCCAGAAGAUCAAGUCACAGGGAGAGAAAGAACGUUUUACAUUUUAUAAGAACAGGUGAAAAUUUUUUAAGAUAGGCACAGAGUGUAAAUCUAAUUCUGAUCACUUGUAUAGAAACAGUGCAAUGACUGAGAUUCAAAAUGUGACAAAGCAUACUGAAAUGAUUUUGAUGUGCACAUAAGAAAGCACUUAUUAAAGGAUCCCAGCAGCCGCCACUUGCUUCAAGUUCCAGAAACAUCGGUGUGCUUCGAUUUGACCUUAUUAUCCCUUUUCCUAGGAAACAGUUAUUCAGGUGAAUCUAAGUCAGAAAGCAUCUUAUACUUCCCUGAAUUUCCUUGAAGGCUUUCUAAAAUAAAUGAAACCUGCAGCAAGUUCUGAAGACUGUUAAAUCCAAGUUUGUUUUGAACUAGGAAGCAGUGAACUUUUCAGAGCCCUUAGGCCAUUUCAGGGGGUGCUGCACUGGCUGUAGCAAUGCAGCAUUUUUCCAGAGCGCUGAUGAAGUGAUUGAUGAUGGAAAAGUAGGGAAGUUAAUAAAAUGGAAAUGUGCAUUUUGUGAUCAAUGGAAAUAUGAAGUAAUGAAGAAAAGCGGUGCUGCUUCAGUGAAAGGGUAUUGACAGGAACUUCAGUCUCCUCCUACACAUCAUAUCCCGUUCUGUUCCCUAAAGCAAUGAUGGGAAGAGGAGGAGAGGGAUCAAAUUUUAUUUAUAUUUUUUGCACAGAGGAUAAAAAUUAAUGGUUGGAAGGUGGUGGAAGUUCUCUAUAACUUUCUGAAUUUCUGAAUAUGAAGAGAGUGAAUGGAGAAACCAUUACGCGCAGUUUUUCUUUCCAUUAGUUUGUCGUUGCCUCUGGAUUUUUGUGUCUGAAGUGCCUGCUUGUUGCAGGAACCAGGGGACUGAAUCAUUACAGGCAGCCCACAGGUCUGAUGACUUCAUUUCCUGGGUUAUAUAAAAUCCAAACUUCCUAACAAAUUGUCUGCAGGAAGUGUUUACCACAUUGCUAUAGAACAAUUAGAGUGCACAGAAACCUGACCAGGUUGAAAAAACAAUUACAUGAAGCAUUGACAUUAAUUUAUAAAGACCUUUAAGCACGGCUGCGGGGUUGCCAGCCAGGAAGCCAACCAACCAACCAACCUGGGUUCCUGGGCAGAAAUACUCAAACAUGAAGCAUAGAUUUACUUUGAAGGGUGGAGACCUACGUGGAAAAAAAUGUGAUUAAGGCAUUAUGUCUGGUUUGUUACAUUCCCUCUAAUAAAUUGUUUACUUGUGGGGAGCAAUAGAUCCUGCAUUCACAAGCACUAACAGAAGUCCACUGAGUACCUUAGGUUUAGUCUAGAUUUAAAUAGACCAAUUAGCAACUGAAAUUGCUGUUUUGUGUGGGGAGGAGCCAAGCAAACACCUCCACUCCUUCACAAAUUUAUUCUUGUCUGAGCUGUUUGGAGCCCAUGAAGACGUGGGGCUCCCCACACUGGCAUGAUGUCAAUGCAUUAAAUAAGGUCAGCAGAAAGAGGAAGAACCUGUUCAUCUCUCACUGUACAGAGUGAAAAGUUACCCCAUGCAAAACAGUAUUUCCCCAUCCUAUGUAGGCUACAGGCAUUUACUGUCCUCUUUUGCUCUGAAAGUUCAGCUUUUCCCUGACUAAUCAUUCUUUCUAAUACGAAACAGCAACAGAACAGAAUAGAGAACUGUUGACAACUACAUAAAACACACCACUUUCAAAUACACCAUUUUCUUUUCUAAAGACCCCAACUGAAACAAGGAACUUCUUUUAGAGCUAUUAUUGAAGCCAUGUUUGUAAGUCUUGACUUUCUGGCCAAGUUCUGUUAGUUACUUUCACAGUCUGCAAAUUUUCAUCAGGAUGGCAGACUCCUGUUCUCUUAGCAUUACAAUUUAUACCUCUUUUCAAAGUUUGAAAAGAAGAUUUUGAAAAGGGAAUACGAUGGCUCUUAUGUGAUGCCUGACACUGUCUUUAUGCAGAAGAUGAAAUGAGAGAAGUUGGAAAAAGUACAUCUUUGCUUUCAACUGAAAAUGUAAAAAAAAAAAAAAAACAACUCAAAAAACAGCUGGCAAAUCAACAAGCUAUUUAAAUGAACUGUUUUAGAGCUUUAACUGAGAACUAAAAAGGAUAUUGCUGUGAUUGCGAUUUUAUACACAAUGGAAAAUUGUUCUCUGAAUCAUUACUUGCCAAGGAUUUCUUAUUGGAAGGUGCAGAAUAUCCACCUCUAGGGAACUGCCAGUACCAUGUUUUAUCCUUAUAUUCUUAAAGCAGAGUCCUUGGUGGUACUUAGGACUUGCUAACCACAAGUGGAGACUGGUGUGGCACACUGGUAAUCUCAAAGGAUUGUAUCUUCCAAGUGAGCCACCUAAGCAGUCUACCACCUCUUGGUCCACAAGUUUGUGGUUGAGGAAACUCUCUGUUAGAACUGUUUGUCAGAAGGUUAGUUUAUGUUUAAUUUUGAUGUUUUUCUUUUAGAUGAUAAUGAUCAGAUCUCUUGCUAUGUAAUUGUAGCUUUCCUUAGUCUUCUAAGAAAGUCUUUCAUCUGUUAAUUAUCUGGUUCACUUCUUCCCUAACUUCAGUGACACGUGUGGCUGUUGGAGGGUUUCCAAUGUGCUAUCCUUAUAGAAGCUUGUAAUGGUGCAGUCUGUGCGUGUUACCCAUUUGAAGCAAUACUUUUCUUUUUUUUGAACCAUCUCCACUUGGAAUAAGAUGUCUUUCUCACAUAAGUUUUCCUGUCUAUGAAAAAAACAACUGUGAAAGGAUAUCACAUCUGUGAUACUUCAUUACUGUUUCAAAAGUACUGAGAGCUCUGGUCAGUUGCACUUGCAUGACUGUUGAAUAUCACGCAAAGCUUAAUUCUGUGUUUAGAUUCUUAAAUAAAAACAGUAUGAUUUCAGAGAUGCUGAAAGAGAAGCCAAUAAAUACUUAACUAAUAAAGUUACUUAAAUUUAAGUGACUAAUUGCAUAAACUAUAGGAAUCUGGAUCUUAGUGCCACGUUGUUACCAAGUGCUGGAAUUGUCAAUAUUUAAACUAAAGUAUAGGACUAGGUGCUUAAGCUUUUAAGUCUGAAUUUGGAGAGAGUCUGGCUUUAAGUAAAUGCUGAGCUCUCACUAUCUGCAACUUUGGCAUAAGCAAAGUAUCACAGAAGGGGCAUCUAUGAUUACAGAGUGUUUUGGCUUAGAACCUGCUAUCAUUUUCUCUUUAUUGAGGCGCUGCUGCUUAGAACACAAACUGGAAAGAUACAAACAGAGCUAUUGUCUUCAAGGGAUUUAUUGUCAGCAUUCAUGUUGAUAUCUAAAUCAGUUUACUCAGAAUUUUUGCUGAAAUUUUUAGAGAGUAUGUUUUUAACAUGUUUUAUGUUAGAGACUGAAACAGCUAUUUUAUGGUCUGACCGGGGCUUAUUUGCAUUGCAGGCUUUGACUAUGUAUGAGGACAUACAUGUAAACCAAAUGCUUGGUGUCCUGCCCCAGUCAGCAUUCACGUGUGCAGAUCUACCACUACUGUGUUUGCUAUAUGGUGCUUCAUACAUGGGGCUUUGUACAGUCCAGGAUGUUUGAAGCAAAUCCCACUCUAUCAGUUUGUUUGGGCACACACUUUUAUUUUACAGGUGAUUACUGGAAGUAUUCCUUGCUGUCAAGUCCCUGGUUAGCUGAUAGCUUUCUUACAAGUGGCUGUUCCUAGGCCUACAUAGAAAGGUUUGACUAUUUGGAACUUAGAAGUUCUGGUUAAAAUGCAGAGAUACAGCUAGACAAGAAAUAAAGGUAUGUGGAGCAAAUGAACGUCAACUAUAUUCUUCGAUUAUGGAGUCCAGCGUUGUCUUUACUUAGCUGAAGAAGUUAUGGGAAUCAGUAUCAACAGGAUGGUCCUGCAGAGUAAAGGCAGCUCUGUAGCACAGUGGUGGUCUCAUUCUCCAUGCUGUGGAGAGAAGUGGAAUGUUUGGUCUGGCUCUGAUUGGUUUACUGAAGGAGCAGAUUGCGGUACCUACGUGUUGCUGGGAAGGAAAUCUGGCCUCCAGGGAGCGCUGUGUAAAUGUAAGCAGCAGCUCCUUUUAUUCCCUUUUGGUGGCUCGGAUUAGAAACUAUUAUGAAUCAAUCAGACCCAAUUAAUAUGAUUCUAUGUGUACCUGCCAAAUCCAUCUUAAUGGAAAAAUAGUUUUAGUUUAUUAAAUUACUGGUGAAUAUAUACAUGUCUUCCUCAUGCUUUGAGACAGGCCAACUCUGCCCGGCCUUUUAAGAAUCCAGUUAGAUUAAGGCUUCAGCAAAAGUGAAAUUCCCUUGGCUUUGGUGGCUCAAGGAGUUUUUAGUGGAGAAGUGCUAAGGCAGAAUAGCUUACGAGAGGGAAUGGCUUCAAGCUGCGCCAGGGAAGGUUCAGGCUGGACGUUAGGAAAUACUACUUCUCUGAAAGGGUGGUCAGGCACUGGAAUGGGCUGCCCAGAGAGGUGGUGGAGUCACUGACCCUGGUGGUAUUUAAAGAGCGUUUGGAUGUUGUGUUAAGGGACAUGGUUUAGCGAGAACCAUUGAUGAAGAGCGAACGGUUGGACUGGAUGAUCCUGUGGGUCUUUUUCAACCUUAGCGAUUCUAUGAUUCUAUAGUGCUAUUGUUCUGUAGGUACUACGAUAAAUGCUAUACGCUUCAGCUUGUGUAUCUGUCAGCAUGUAUUAACGAAAUUAAGCUGUUAAAAAGAAAUUCAAAACGUAGGAAAAAAAUGUAGCAGAGCAAAAUAAUUUUUCAGGUAUACCAAAAGUAUUUAAUCCGAAAAUCACAAGAACUCCAAUUCCUGGGUGUGAAAACAGAGGCAACAAUAGGGUUGUGGCACGCAACCUCCCAUUAAUAAUCUCUCAAGAAUGGCAGAUACCAGUUUGCAUGCUGAAGGAUUUUCCUGGCGCUGGUCUGUAGCAGCUAGGCACAUCUGUCUCUAUUUUAUACUAAUUUGGCAGAAAUAUGAACCAGAGGCGACUUCCCUUAAGUCACAUGCACAAAAAAUUAACAUAGAAACAGAAUGUAGAAGUCCUGACUUCUUGUGAACAUACACCAUCCUUCAGCGGGUGCUGUGGGCUGUUCAGCUGCCUUCUCUUUAUUUCUGGAAAGAAGUGGACCUGCUUUUAACAGUGUAUUUUGCAUAUGAUGGUGCUGUGAAUAGGGAAAAGGCAAAUACUUUCAGUUUGCCAAAGCUGCUAGACUUCGCAUAAAGAACAUAGUCAACAUUUGAAUUAGAUGAGAUUAAGUAAACCAUUCAAAAUGAAGAUAACUACCCUUUUCUGUUUGUUGUAUUUUCUAAGUCAAAAUAACUGUUGGCAGAUGCUGGAAAUACGGGCUGUGCUCUCAAGGUCUACAUCUCUCUGGCGUUUGCAGAGUAGUGACUGUCUGUGAGAGAAGUGUCCUGGGAUUCCCCUACUCAGUGCUGUGAAGCUAUCAUUCUUUAUCAGUUCACUGCUGCUUCCUGUUUAUAGGAAAUUCUUGGUGGGAAUGGGGAUAGGGUUGCUUUGGGUUACAGUUCAAAUAAAGAUGAAGGAAAAGUCCUGUGAACGAGGACGUUGGCUCAUGUGACCAUUUGAACAGUUCAGUCCUAUUGCUGUAACAGCUUUUCUGUAUUUGCUCAAGUGCCUUCUCCUGCAGAAGAUGGAUUUCUGUCUCAUCAAAGAGCAAACGCUUCAGGAAAACCUGGAAUGUUGUGCUACCCAUCUUAUUGAGGUUUUUUGGUCACUGUUGGUGUGGGCAUUUUUAUUUAGGUUGUAUAAAAUAAUCCUGGAUGGUUUGUCCUGCUCAGUGAUGCUGACUGAGCAACUUUUAGUCCCUGAAGGAGAUUUUACUUCUCUUUCGGCUUUUCCUUGGUGCUUCUCACCAUUCCUUAACAGGAAUAUCUUCAUGGUCUUCCCAUCUCCAUGUGUUAAUGCUGGCUUUCAUUGCACUUGAAGAAAGCUUCAUCUUCCUUUGAUCCUUAGUGCUUCGGUCCUGUUAAGCUUCCUCACAUCAUUAGCAACGUAAAUCAGAGUCUCUUUCUGUUUGUAACUUCCUGCUCCUGGUAGGCUCUCUCCUCUUCUGAGAUGUUGCUUUCAUGGGUGAAGAAUCACUGACUAAAAUGCUUGUUGUGGAGAGAUGAGUAGAUAAUCUGCUGAAAUGUUGCAUCAUAGGAUCACAGAAUGGCUUAGGUUGGAGGGGACCUUAAAUAUCAUCUAGUUCCGACCCCCCAGCCAUGGGCAGGGUUGCCAACCACUAGAUCAGAAUCCCACCCAACCUGGCCUCGAAUGCCUCCAGAGAUGGGGCAUCCACCAUCUCUCUGGGCAGCUAGCUGAGAAGUGGGAGCACCUCCUUCUUGAGAAUGCCAUGUGGCUGACAGACAUUUUCUCUUUGUCACCUGGAAUGUCCAGGUCUCUUCUCUCUUCAUGUUUUUUAGUAUAGGAAUCAGAAAUGGCCCUAAGAGAUAAAACAUUCUGCUCAUUAUCGUUAAGAGCAUUGCUUCAUGGCCUCUUUUAUAAAUCAGUAACAGAAGGUAAUGGAGCAGAAGGUACUCUCUGAGAACUUAAUUAAUCCAAGCAGAGAUAUGUGCCUAUGAUGUGAGUUAGGAUUAGGAAUUAGCUCUGAAAACAAAAUAGCCUAUGCAAAAUUGAUGUACACUGGUCUAUAAAACAAUUCAGUGAAUGAGGUCACAUUUUUAAUGUAGCAUUUCUUGAAAUAAUUGACCACCACAGUCUUCAUCAGAGAAGGCAGUAAAGACUGAAUGAGUAAUUUUAUCACUUAAAGGAAAUUUAUUAAGGCGUGGAGGGGCUGACCAUCCUUUCACUAAGCCAGAGCCUACGAGGCUAAUGUGGGCCUCUUUUUAGCUCUUUUUACUUUUUGAGCUAUGCCUUGAAUGCAGACGCCUGUGAUCAGGAUGGGAGGUGCAGUUAAGUUCUGAAGGAGGGAAAGCAUCCAGGAAAAGAAUAUAAGUGUCUAUGUGGGCAUCAGAGAAGAGAGAGGGGUUGGAGGAAUGACAGGCUUCCAUGUCACAAAGUGAACUUGUUCCCUACGCACGCCUGCGGGAGUGGGCGUACAGGGGAGGCUGACUGCCUGAUUUGCUUCUGGAAAGCUUCCAUGUUUUCAGCAGAGUGAAAAGAACAUUAUUUUUAUUACUAUUAAAAAGUGCUUUUGAACUUAACAGUAUCUGCAAGUGAGUCUUACAGUGCUGCUCAGUGGAAGGUUACCUGAAAGUCAGAGGAUAUGUUUAGUCUGAUGCCUUGGGAGGCCUCAAUCUGCAUUUCACCUGUGUGACUGGAAAACUGAGUACAAGGGAUUAGAAGGCUCACAUGGUCGGUAAUGGGAUGCAGAAGGCCUUCAGACAGAGCAGGAGGGAUCUUCGGUAAGCUGUGAAAGGGGAAAGCAAAGGCCUUGAGGAUUAUAAGCAAAGGAGAUGAGAAAAGAGCAUCAGAGGACAAAGAGUGGUCCCGGGGAAAGAUGAUUAAUGAGAAUUUCCAAAGGCAGUGGCUUCAGGUGCACCUCCUAGGGGCAAGGCAUUAGCCAGCUCUGAACAGAAGGGAAGGAGGGGCUGAAAGGUAAUGGGAGGAAAGAGGAUGGCUUCUGCAUAUGCCCAAGUCCCUCAGGAAACUGUAUGUGAGAAAAAAUCUUGCAGUGAUGAAUGCUGUCAAAGAGUGGAUUUUGAAAAGAUGUUUUUUUUUUUUUAACCUGCAGAAAAAUGAGAAUGGUGAAGUCUUCAGUGGCCAACUGUUCUUGUGCAUAGCAGGGGCACUGAAAGACAGAUAUGUUUGUUGGGAAGAUGUCUUGUGUGGAUACUGAUGCUGUCGUGUGCUUGCUCUGGGAAUAACAAAAAAAAUUGGCAUUCAAAGCUUCUUCCCAGAGAGAAGCAAAGGAGAGAAGUACAUGUUGUUGUUUUCAACUGAAGUGAAAGCCAAAGUUUUUGGGUUUGGGUCUCCUGCCCCAUCCCCCUCUCCCUGUACCACAGCUCAUGGCAUAGGCCAGGUCUUUCUGUUACAGUGUGGUGUCACUCAGCAGUAGGCCUUGAUCUCAGGCCUCCCUGCCUGUCCUCAGAGAGCUCCUGCCUCUGGGGACAGCCCAGUAGCCUUCUCCCACGUUUUAAGAUGCUGUUGGGCACAAAGGAGUUACAAGAAUAAGGGAAAAGGAGGACAAGGAGGAGAUUCUGGCCAUGUUUUUGUUAUUUUUAUGGUUAGAGUAGAGCAAGGUAGCUUUCUGACAGGCACUCUGCGUACCCCUGUCACCCCUGGUGGUGUGAGUCAAAGCAGUGUGUGCAAAGUGUGCCACAGAAAAAUGAUCAUUGAUGCCCAAUGUUUUCUUUGCCCAUAACACUAAGAAAGAAGGGUAUUCCUGGCAUCUCUGUGUGCUGCAAAUAGUCUUUGUCACCAGUGACUAAGGAUUGGAUAUGAUUUUUUAAAAUUAUAUCUGCAUCUGUUACAGAGAAACUUAAACCUUCCUAAUCAAGUCUAUCUUUGAGAUAAAAAGUGCUUUGAAGUUAAGCUAUUCCUGCACCUAGUAAGUGGCAGGGGUCAAGAAAGAAGGUCUAAGAAAUAUCUUAUUCUGCAUUAAAGCAGGAGAAAAGGAGCAGCAAAAAUAUGCCUCUGAUAACACUGUAUUACCUCGGGGCAGAGGGAAGAAUCCUGAAUGCAAAAUAUGGAGCUUGCUGGCUUCCCAUAGGAACUUCCUUAUCCAGCAGGGUAUGACCAUUUUCAUUCUUCAUUUUUCUUCACAUUUUCACCCCCUACUUCUUUUUUUUAGGAGGUCUGACACCCAGCCCUGUUAGGAAAUAGAGUGUAUCCUUCCAAAACAACAUCAGGUAGUGCUCCCCACACCAUCCCUACUCUUCUCUUUUAUCUCCUUGGGGAGCCCUUGACAAUUAGGCCCUCUAAUAACCAGCUAGAUAGGAAUAAUUCUGCAGUGAAUGUAUCUCAUCGAUUCCAUAUGUUGUUUAUAUUGUUUGUGAAUAAAUGUGUUCUACAAGAAGUUUAUUAGUUUGUAUAACUCAAUUUUUAUGUGAUCUCCACAAAAAAUAAUAAUAAUAAAAAAAUAAAAGAAAACCAAGCAAAACAAACAAAGAACAACAAAAAUCCAAUGCAAGAAACUAGUCAAAGGCACCAGUCCUUAGUAGGAAUAGAAAGAAUGUGAAAUUUUUAGACCGAGCUAUUUUAGAGAGCUGACAAAUCCAAAGAGUAUUCAAUAACACUUUUGAAAAUGGAAUUCAGUGCUUUUUUCUUUCUUUUUUUCCUUCUUUUGGAAACUUUUCCUGUUCUUUGCCCCACUCUGAUCAAUCACAUGUUCAAAAUUCAGAGGAAUGAUUUAAACUUUGAGAAGGAUUAGCUCCAGCUUUAUUGAGAAAUUUCUCUUCUUCAGUGAUGCCAAUGCCCAAAAAUGAGAAGAUUCUUUAGACCUGUGACCAUUGCUUGCCUGAGUAAUUCAUGUUCAGGUCAAUGCUUUGAUAGUGGCUACAGCUGAAUUUUAUGAACACAACAGAGCAUAGUGCUGAAAAAAUUGGCAAAGCUUACUACAGCAGAGUAGAGUGGUGGAGUUCUGUCUGUACUUGCGGUCUGGACAAGUAUGGGGCAGAGCUGGAGUACCUGACAUCCUUCUGUCAGAGAAGUAUGUCACCUACAGAAGAUGAACAAAGGACAGCUAGUUCAAUGCCUGCCAAAAUCUGUCAACCCCUCUGUGAGGUUUGGCAGCGAAUUGACAUCCUGGCCUGACUCUGCCGGUGGUACAACAAGCAACAUUAAGGAAGGUGUAGGAGAUGUUUCUUGUGAGCUCUUUUCCCUUGCUCCAUUUGUUGCUUUGGAAAAAUGUGUAGAGCAGAGACUAUCAGUACGAGAUUUGCAUUAUUACAGCAAUGGGUAGACAUCCUGUUCCCCUGCCCUCCCAUCCUCCUGCCCCAAGAUCCUCCAGUGUAUUUCUGGUGCGCGCAUCACUCCUGCGUCAUAGCUGUCCUCUUCCAUUACUGUUUUUCUACCCUAAUUCAUCUUGUUGCAGUGUCAUCAGGCAGGCCUAGCAGUAAAAUAAAGCAGUGUUUUAUUAACCAAAGCCCAUAAAAUAAAGCAAUGGUUUAUUAGUCAAAGCCCAAGACAAAAGUUUUAGCAUUUAAAGGACUGCUGACUAUAAGCAGAGAAAACCAUAUGGGGCUACAGACUUGGUUUAAAGUGAGGUACUUCCAUGACUGUCUAAGUACAUCACACUCCAAGGCAGGAAUUAACGUGAAGUAGAUGACCUGGUCUCUUAUCACAUCAGGUAAAUUCUUCAAAUUCUGUGGGAAUACUGAUUCCCUCAUAAUAUUUCUGGUUUUAUUUGUAACAACAGACAAGCAGCAAAGUGCUUUUGCCAAGACUUGUUGCUUCUCUCCUACCAUUUGUCCAAGGGUCACUCUCUCCCCAGCACAAGGUGAGGUUUUAAGAAAGAUCAUUGGUAGCUAAACAUAGUCCUGCAUCCACCUGUUCACGGUUUGUCUCCAGUGCAGUUCUAAGGGAAAACAAUGUCAUUUCUACAUACUUUGAGCAAGAUGAGAGGACUGAAUGGCUAGGGAGGCUUCCUUGAGAGACAUGUCUGUAGCCACACGCAGACAGGUAACUCCUCUGAGGAAGAACCAGUCCUUCUCUCCUCAGACUCUCCCCACAACCACAGCAAACAUAUCUCCCUACCCUGUGCUUUUGAUGGAGUACCUACCAUACUCUUUCUUCCCACCUAGAAAGGCUGACUAACUCAGUGAGAUAAAGAUGGAUCAUUUCUCUAUCUCAGGUAGCCAUUAUGGGAAAGGUUUGGACUCAUCUACCCACCAACCACCAUACCCCAUCAGAGCUUACAUUUCCUCCUGCUGCCAGCCUUUAACAUUGCCGCAGUCUGCGGGGUGUCCUCCAGGAGGAGGUCUAUGUGGGUGGAAUGUUUAUAGGAUGUGCGGGGGGAAGAGCAUGCAACAUUUGUCUUUUGGAAGGGGAUGAGUUCCGCGUACUGCCAACAGGGGUGAGAGAUGUUAAGGUCAGUGGUGUGGCCUCCUGUGACUGUCAGUAGUGACAUGCUGCUACCUGGCUAGAAACUUUUCAGGAAAGCAUGAUCAAAACCUGUGGAUGUUCAACAUGAGCCCAAACUUGAAGUACUGUUGUACUUCUGUACUGCUGCAAGUCCUGCUUAACUUAGGGAGAGGAAAGCUGACUUUUAUAAACACAAUUUUAACUUCUCUGUGUCUCUUUAACAGAGAUAGAAGUGUCUAAGGAGGAGGAUGUAAAGCUGUUUGAGAACUGAAGGUCAUUAAAUUACCAGGACUAAAAGGUAACAGUAUACAUCUAAGGCUUUGGGAAUAAGUAGUGUGGAAUCACAAACGUUAUGAAUUGUGAGUUGCAUCCCAAUCCUGGUGAGCGUCAGGGAUAUCACAGAGCACACCUUCAGGUGGAGGAUGACAUUCCAAGUGUGUAAUAAAUGGAGUUGUUGGUUUCUCUGGCGGAACGGACAUCAUCAUAAAUGUUGUAUUUUGGCAAGUUGUGACUAGCUGUUUGUGUUGAGUGGAAGUUGUUACUGUAGUGCCUGUUACUGACUUCUUGCUGAGACACUUUGGAGCAAAAUUAGGGAAAGGAAGGGCCAGCAUAGGGUCUUGGAGAACCAGUUCCCUGCCAAGAGUCUCCAUUUUCUGUGACCUUUUUGGUAUAGUCCUUUGUAAUAAACUGAACGAAAAUACAGAGCUGCUGGGCAAGGAGCUUUUAUCCUGAACUGAUGGAGGCAUCUGCUGUGCCAAACAAGGGACACACUCUGAAGCCACAGAAUAAACAAAUGAUGACUGGAGGCAGCUUGGAGCAGAGCGAAGUUAAGAGGAGACUUGUAAUUAGAAGUUGGUAUUUGAACAAGUGCAUUGUAGGGAUUUGAAGGAAUUAGAGGAGGAAGUGGAAAGUAAAUUGGGAACUGGCUUGAAGCUCUCUGAAAUCAAUGGGAAGAAUUCCCUUGGGCUUCAGAUCAAAACAAGAGUGUAGGGGAUGAAAAGCACCUUAGGGGCUGCAAAUACCAGUGCAGGAAGUAGUUAUGGAGAGGGGAGAAAGGGCACUGAAGGUACAGAGAGAAGUUGGAGAGAUUUCAUGGUAGCAGAAAACCCCACAGAGGUAAUGCAUUUCCCAGAAAUUCUCAUGGGUUUCCUCCUUCUGAACACUUGGGGCUUCUUGUGGCUAACCUGGUGGGGAGUUCUGGGGAAACCACAAUAACCACUGCAGUUAUUAGGAUACUUGAUUGUAUGUAAGAGGGGAUGAAAAUCUGACUAAAAGGUAUAAAUCUACAUGGCAUAGCAGUGAGGGCAGUCUGGAAUGUUAUGUGAAAAGUCAUUGUACUUAGUUACACCAAUUGCAAAAUGUAAUAGAAGUGAACAUGGGAGGAGGCAGGAUCAGUGUAGAAGAAAUUUUAAAGAAGAAAGGUUACAGGAGAUGGGCCUGAGGCUUUCUGAACUGUAAAGGAAAACGUUAUCUAAAAAUAUAGAAAACAACAACAAAUGUGAAGUGAAUAGUGAAACAUGUUCAUUUCCUCUUGUUUUUCCUGUUGAAAAAUAAAAAAGCAAAAAAUACAAAAAAAAAAAAAAAAAAAAAAGGGAUGAUGCACUCCAUGCUGUAAAGUUGAUAUAGUAAAUGUAGAAUUUAUCAAUGGGUGCACCUCUUAUCCCAGCACCUUGCCAACUGCAGCCUGCAGUCACAAGAGGUGGAGGCACAGAGAAAUGCUAUGGGUUUAUUUUUGAAAGGCCAGCAAUUUUGUGGUAGAAUGCAACGUUUGUGUAGUAGCAGCUGAGGAAAAAAGUGGUAAUGCUCACAAGCAGGUAUUGGGAAGUAGCCUGUGCAUAACCAUAGCAGUGCACAAUUAGCUGGCUACUUAACUCAUCCCAUUUGUCACUCCCAGUCACACGCAUCGUUUCUCUCACGCUUUUAGAGAUAACCACUACACUGCUGGCAUGGCGGCCCCAGCGGACCACUCAUCUAAUCUGCUGUGGCAGUUCCUCUUCUAUGUAGGCCAUUGCAGAGCAAAUUUAAUUUUUGGUGUCUACAUCCUCUUCUGCAAAUGGCUUCUUUCUUUGGUCCUGCUUUAAUUUGUAUUAUCGUAUUUUAACCACAUGAGUCUUUCCCUCAUCUUUGGCAUUAUGGUAAGUCCAGUAGCUGUUUUCCUGCAAAUGGCAAGUGUGUAUUCAAGGCUUAGCUUUCAAAUUGCUGUUCUGGCAAAAAAAAAAAAAAAAAAAAGAAAAAGAAAAAAGAAAAAAAAAUUCCUCUCACGCCCUUGACACAAAAACAACAAUGUGAACAAUGGGAGCUGUCUGGAGCCAGCAUGACGUUGGAGAGCACUGCAUGCAAGGAGAUAGAAGAGGGAAAAAAACCCACAUGCAGUGGAGGGAGGAUGUUUGACAGACUAUUUGCAUCAGAGUUUCAGAACCCACACAAUAAAAAUGAAAGUGCAGAACACAGGCCAGCUGCCUGUGAUAAGAUCUCAUUGUUGGAAAGGGGAGAAACGUACCGUCUCUACACUAGCUGGGCAGGGAGCAAAAGUACAGCGUGAAACGAAUGGUGAGAGAAUGCACGUGGCCCCUCUUCCUCAGGCACUGAUGUUUCAGGCGACUGUGAUUGAUUUUUGUAUGUUACGGUAUGGCACAGCCAACCUGGAAGAAUUACAGCAGAUGGUACAGUGUGCUGGCAAAUUGCACAGAGAUGGAAGAGAGCUAAAAUCAAUCAUUUUUUAACAAGUAAAUACAACUUUGUGAAAUUCUCCAGCAGUGGUCAGGCUGUAACUGAUGCGAGGGCUUUAGUGCAGCUGUUUGUGGGUGCUCUUGGCCUCAAACAGCACACAGUGAAGCUGUGAAGGCUCCAUUUUGGCUUAAACAGAGUUCUUGUUUGUUCUGUGCACAGCUCCAGGAUUUUAUUCCCUGCAUCUGUGGCAAAUCAUCUUAUUUACUACCUUCGGUGACCAAUUCAGAUACCUACAGAAAUGGCAGUCUCAAAAAUGCACAGAUGCUGUAGAUAAUGGGCUGGAUGGAUUUUUUUAUCAUAUACUUAAUGUAUAUAUUGAUAAGACUGAACUGCUGGAUUCAUACUGUCUCACAACAUGUUAAACAUUUGUUUAUUCUACUGAAAUUUAUGAAAAAUAACUUAAAACCACCUCUAAGUUACCUUUAAAAUUCCUGCAUGCCUUUCUCAAACAUAAUAUAAGCCCGAGGGGCUGAAAUAUGUUUGCAGUUGUUCUGGUCUGAGUUCCUAGGUGAUUGCCACACCAAAAUAAAUAAGUACGUGUCAUCGUUUUAAUAUUUUGAGUUUAGCUAAGAACACCAACAAUGUGCCUUUGCCAAAAACAUGGGCCUGGUUGCUUAUUCUGUGUCUUUCUUCAUCUCAGACUGAGGGACUCACAUUUAUUAAGACAAUUUGUCUGUAGGAAUCAAUACAUAAUGCUGUUUUCUCAAAUUCCUUGUGUAUCAAAAAGGCUGGUAGAGACAUGUUUUCUUUCCAUUUUCCUCAAUCAGUAAUACGUUUCUGAUCCAGGGUAAAUUCUGAUGCAGGAUAAAGUAAAUACAGGAUCUCUUAAGAGGACAGACGUAUCCUUUACCCUCUGCCUUUGGCCUAAAUGUUCAUACUGGAUUUUUAAUAUUGUUUUAAUUUAAUAUAAAAUACUAAUAACAAAAGCUCCUUUGUUUCACGUUGGUGAGACCUGAGGCCACCAAAGUAAUCCAGAAUUGCCUAGCGUCUGGUGUUAUUGAUCACUGUUGGUAUAGCUUUGUGCUCUGCUGAUGACUUUCUGGGCCUUUUACACUGCUUUUAUGCUCAGCACUCCAAACCAAUGCUGGUGUUAUUGCCAAGGAGAUGUGGAGGUUUUAUUGCUGUGCCUCCCGGCCAUUCCUCUCCACCCUCCUGCGUGCAGGCGCUAGCAUGUAACAGCGCUUCACCUCUAGUGCUCUCACCUGCUCUGGCCUCCAGGGCUCCAUUCUCCUACUACAAAUCCACAGUUUUUAAAAGCUCUGGAGGGAGUCUCUAGGAUGAAGUGCUCAGGUACCAGGACACCAGCUUUCUGUUUCCUCUUUAUGUAAAGUGUAUCUCUUUGUUGCCUUCUCUGUGUUUGCCUUUGGCCAGAAGAAGUGCAUGUGGCGGGGAGACCUAGCCUGAACUGGAGCAACUAGGAGCUUCAUCACGGUGCACUUCUCUGCUUUUCUGCAUUCUUCCAGCAAAUGGCUGCUAGGUAGGCACAGAAACAGGGGGUUCUUCUGCAUCCUUGGCUAUCAUAGUGCAUGCUGAUCUGUAAUGGGACACAAGGCUGUGCCCUGGUUUACCACAGACAGGAGUGGCUGUUGUGGACAGCCGCCUUCAAGAAUAAACAUGCAUAUCAAUGGAUGACUUUGUGUGCUCUGACACAGCUUUAUCAGCUGAACUGUUUUGUACCUCUUAUACCAGUUUAUGAAGACUUUAUCAUAGAAUCAUAGAAUCUUCUGAGUUGGAAGGAACCCAUAUGGAUCAUGGAGUCCAACCCCAUGUUCCACACAGGACUACCCAAAAUUAAAAUCCUCUGUCUGAGAGCAUUUUCCAAAUCCUCUUUGAACUCUGGCAUCUUGGGGCCAUGACCCUUUCCUUUUCCCUGAACAUUUCCCUAACCUGACCCUCCCCUGACACAGCUCCAUGCCAUUCCCUCAGGCCCUCUCACUGCCACAGAGAGCAGAGCUCAGUGCUGUUCCUCUGCUCCCUGUGAGGAGCUGUCGCCGUGAGGCCUCCCCUCAGUUCCUUUUUUCUGGGCUAAGCACACCCAGGGACCUCAGCUGCUCCUCAUGUCUUGCCCUGGAAUCCUUUCACCAUUUUUGUAGCCGUCCUCUGGACACUCUCUAAUAGCAUUAUGUCCUUCCUCUAUUGUGGUACCCAAAGCCACACACACUGUUCUCUCCUGCAUUGCUACCCUAUUAAAAACAAAGGUCCCUUUUUAACAGGUUUUUAUUUCUGGGUGUCAGAGACCCUGACAGAAUUGGCUCUGUGGCUUAGCACCACAAGUUCUGGUGGUUGCUGCCUAGAACUACAGAGAUUGGUGGGUGCAUUUGAUUGGAAUUAUAGCAGGAACUAUACAUGCCGGUUCAGCCCUGUUAGCAAUGCUGCUUAAAAGUGGCUUUCCUGUGCUCAAAAUUAAAUGCAAGACACUUUUGUCUGAGUGGUGGUGUUGGUCCUCUGCUCAUAUUUGGUUUGACUUACUAUUAAAUUUUGUGAUUGAGUUAUUACUAUUGAGCUAUUAGGUGUGCAUAUCCACAAAUAAAUAUGUGUAUUUGUGAGAGCCCACCUAGAUUACUGAAUAAACCUACAAGUCUCUAGCUAGAAGAGAAACAAAGUCAAGUUCCAGAUUGCUACCAUUUCACUGUAAAAAUGUGAGCAAAUUACUUAACCUUUCCCUGCCUUUGUAAUUCUUCCUCCUUAAAAUAGGGAUUGUGCCACCUACUUUUGGAAGGAUAUAUGUAUAUAUUUAUUAUAGGCGUUAGAGGAUAAAAAAAGCAGCUCUUUGGAUUCCCGUGUUCUUAGAAUCUGAAGGAAUCUGAUUAAACAGCAUCUGAUCAAUCUUGAUCAGAUCAUCACUUUUUUUGUCAGCUGUAUCAAUGUUAGAGAGAAAAUGAGCCCUAAUUGACUAUUCUGUGAGCCAUGGGUGGGGAUUGUGGCUCGCAGAUUAGGACAUUUGUUCCCCCUGUUUACUAACAGUUUAACUGAAGUUGAUAUAUCCUGUAAAAGAGCACUACUGAAAUGGUGUUUCCUGGUGUUUUAGGAAGUGAAACCUUCCAUACCCAGUUGAAUCCGUAGAAAGUGGACUCGUUUUGUUGUUUUUUUUAAUUGUAGCUGUGUUUAAUUUUUAUUUUUUUAAAUGUAUUUCUGUGCAGAUUUUUAUUAGCCAUGCAGAGUUCAGUAUGGGGCAAAGCGUCUGCUAUAACGUAGGAUAAUCCUGAAUUAAAAUAGAAGAAACAUGCAUCAUGGACUAUAAAAUUCUAUAAAUUCUCAGUAAAUUCUGUUCAACUUCUUUUCUGCCUCCUAAAGAGAGACUUUUCUGUAAUUCUUUUCCAUACAUACCUGGAUUUAUUUUUCAUUAUAAUUUUUAUUAAAAGUAUUCUGUUUUAAGAGCUACUCAAUCCACAGGGCUUAAACAAAGAAUUAAUGUCUGAAUUGUCAUCAUAAUGUAAUUUUUAGGCUGAAAAUCCUUCUGGUAUGGUAUGCUUGUAGCCUAAAAGCUUUCUGCUAUAUAAGGAAAUGGAUUUUAUUUAACUUUCUCAGCCGUGGUCUAUGUGUACAAGAGAGAAGUAUCCAAAUUCAAACUAAGAAUAGAAACUUUCUAACUGCAUUUAUGAGUUUCUACCAUAACUUUCUAACUAGUAGUCAAUGUAGUCUGUGCUGUUGCUUAACUCUGGUUUCAAAAAUGCUAGAAGCCACAGAUAUGUUUUCUGUGUCAUUUCAAUGUAUCAGGGAUCUUUUUAUUUUGAAAUCCAUGACUGUAGCUAGUUGGAUUAAGGACCACCCAUUUUCUGAAGUAGAAGGCGGGUCUAGUUGCUGAAAACCAAGCUAACAGGUAACGUGGAGUCUUGUUGCAUCUUUGCUUUAGCAGAGGGGAUUGUGCUGGUGUCUUUGCACACACAUACCAAAAUCAGCUCUCGAUCUCCUCAGUUCAAGCACCUAAGCCAAGUGGUGGGAUUCAACCUCCUGCACUAUCUGCCUGGGAAACACUGAGUCAGCAUGUAAAACACCUGUGUAGCCCAGGCCUAAUCUUGCUUGGUAUUGAAGCACAACAGGCUGCCUCACACCCCUGCUUUGGUGUAUUUCUUGUACUUGCAGAGCUUCACAUUGAUUCCUCUUUCUACAUUUAGCAGUCUGAUUUUAAUUUUUACUGUAAAUCUUCCAUGAGUCCCUUGGUCUCAGGAUUUAAGUGCUCUCAAACCCAGCGGUGGGAAGCAGGUACUCAGACACACAAAUCCGUGGUCCAGGUGAACUGGAUGGUUGAGCCUGUGCACAGUUCUCUAGAGCAGAUAUUGAUAUUACACAUAAAGAAGCUUAAAAAUAAUGAUUUAAAAAAAAGUUUUCAACAGGUUUUCCUUGUCCUUACCCCCCAAAUGUCUGGUCUUGCCUGUCUGCAGACCACUCUCCAGGGAGGUUUGGUGAGAAACUUGUAGGGGAAAUAAUGAGUAGAAUCAAAAUGGCCACCCAGUGUAGCUGGGCUGUGUGGGCUGUUGUUUGUUUCCUCUGAGAACACUUCUGUGCUGCAGUUGGCUGCAGAUCCUUCCUGGUCUUCGUCAGCUCCCCCCAUGGCAGGUGCACAACUACUACAGGCCAGCCUUGGCUGUGGGCAGGCAGGAGGAGGCACCUCAUCCAGGCCUGCAAAGCCUCUUCUGUGUUGCUGCUAAGGGAUAGCCCAGAAACCCCUCAUGUCAUUUCUUUUCUCGUGCUUUUAAACUACCAUAGGAAUCUAUACAUGUAUCAGCUGGAAAUAUCUCUAGAAAAGCCCUUUUCUCUUUAUUGAAUUUGGCUCAUCAUGGUGACGCUAUAGUUGGACACCUUCCCAACACAUAGCAUGUCUUCCUUCCACACGCAGGAAGUGCAAAAGCUUCCUAUGUUGACCCAACAUGCAGUGGAUUCAUAGCACCUCAAGUUGCAGGGUGAUACCUGUAAAGAGAAGAGUUUAAGCGGAGCCACAGGCAAAACUUGGCAUUGUGGGCAGGUUAUGUGUAAUAGCAUUGGAAGUGGGUUCCUGCCGUUUUGUUCUUGAGUAGCUCAGCUCCUCCACAACAGUAUUACUGGAUCUCAGAGACAAGCAACAUGCUCCACAAGUUUAACCUGCUCUGAUGCACAACAAGUACAGGCGGAAGUUUGCUCUGCCAGUGGCUCUUAGCACCAUGUAUGUGUGUAUAUACGUACAUACACGUCAGGGAGGUGCAAUACAGCAGUGACAAGUAGUUUAACACCCAGGGCAAAGGACACUGCUAA
rnacentral:lncRNA from 1 species